ACAAGCCUGAGAAACGGCUAGUAGGACUAAGGUCUGCAGCAGGCGCGAAACUUACACAAUGCUAGAUUAAGAUAUAGCGAUGUAGUGAAGAAAAAUAACGAUGUACUUCCAUUUAAACAUGGUAGUACAAUUGGAAUGAGACGACUCUAAACCAGUCAGUCGAGUAACAAAUGGAGGGCAAGUCUGGUGCCAGCAGCCGCGGUAAUUCCAGCUCCAUUAGCAUACAUUAAAGUUGUUGCGGUUAAAAAGCUCGUAGUUGAAUUUCGGGCGGGCUCUAUUGGGAUGCAAUCGUUAAGGUUUCUAGGUAUGGUCAGCCCAGCUUAGUUAAACUGGUUGUAUUUUCCCUAUAGGAACCCGUUGUUUCGUCACUUAUUCGAGUGCGAAGCGGGCUGGUACUUUUAUAAGCUUCGGCUUUUAAGUAACAGCAUGUUUACCUUGAGAAAAUUAGAGUGCUCACAGCAGGCAGUUGGGGUGUAAAAGCCCCUUUAUGCUUGAAUAAUGUUGCAUGGAAUAAUAGAAUACGGCCUCGGUUCUAUUCUGUUGGUCUUAUAGAACAACAAACAAGUUGAUUAAAGCGAUCAAAAGUCCAUUUUGAGUGUGGCUUUGUACAGUAUGAGCUACCAACCUCAUUCGAGCUCUGUUGUCUGGGGCCUUAAAAUCUCAGUACCAGGUUCGCUUGAACGCUAGUUCUCAUGCUUGCACUGUCAUCUAAAGCACUCUUAGUGUGGCUAGCUUUCUAAUCAACUGAGGCAAUGGUUAAAAGAAAUAGUCGCGGCGGCAUCAGUACUGCAUCGUGAGAG
rnacentral:rRNA from 1 species